rnacentral:lncRNA from 1 species
UAGGAGCAACAAUAAUUAGGAAAUAACCAUAUGAUUAGCUGUGGAAUACCACCUACGGGUUCAUCGCGAUAGCUGCUUGUGAAAAAGAUGAACAUCAUACAAGGCUAGGUAUAGUUUGAGAUAUUUCAAUAAGUAUAAUAGGUAAAACAAUAGAAUAAGCUCUAUUUUUCAUCGCGAUAGCUGCUUGUGAAAAAGAUGAACAUCAUACAAGGCUAGGUAUAGUUUGAGAUAUUUCAAUAAGUAUAAUAGGUAAAACAAUAGAAUAAGCUUUAUUUUUCUGCAAGGGUUCAAUGAAAAUUCAUUAUAUGAACUGAGAUCAGAAUGUGCUUAAAUAGUAGAAAGGUAGACCUUGGUGACUGCCAUUAUCAAUGUCCUCGAGGUGUGUCUCCAGCUUCAGG